rnacentral:lncRNA from 1 species
CCAGAAUGUCUAUAGAAUAGAUUGAUGCACUACAAUCAUCUUCUUCAACCCAUUUCAACCCACUAGGCUAUCUUCCUUCGUUCCUUACCAAUCACUUUCCACACAAACAGAAGGUGGCUAUGACUGCAUGUGUUAUAUUUCCUAUUACUCCUUUUACCCCCUCCUUCUGCCACCCCUCCAAAGGCAAUUAAGUAUACAUACUGCAAACAAUAGUGCUUUUAACACUGGUCCCCUCAUCCAAGAGGAAAAUUUCACAACUCCCACAUUACCACCUAUGUAAAUAAUCACCACUGAUGGACAGGACCAGACAUGGCUCAGCAUUCCUCAAGUACACUGUCCAUCAUAGCCAAGACUGAUUAUUUUCUAUGGAAGACCGUAACAGCAGAGAACACCACUCCAUCGAGUCCGGGCGGAGAAGAGCAGACCGCAAAGAUGUUUAAACAGAGCACAAAGGAAAAUACAAUGAACUCGGGGAAGAACCAAGGACACGACCACAGCCUCUCUCAGAGGCAACACAAAGCAAAGCAGAGGAAGGGACACAACACCAGGCACCGUCUUGGAGGUGCAAACCGAACAAAGAGCAAGCACCGCCGAGCCCCAAAAGGCUUCAUGUUUCCCCCAGGUGGGAAAAUGCAGGGACAAAGACUGAGAAGCUGCAUGGAAGAGAAGAUGACACAGAGAUUGUCCUGUCAUAACUCAGUCACUCUCCAAAGAGACAAAGCAGAAGAAAGGCAGUGGUUUGAGCACAAAAAUAGCCUGGAAGGAGAAAGCUUCAAACUGUCUGAGACCUGCAACUAAAAUAUGCCAAAAGUUAUUGCUGCUUCAAGUAGCAUUAAGUCCUGCUUGGUGCCCAGUAGGUACUAUGUAUAUUUAGUGAGUGGCUUCAACUUUGAAAAUGUGAAUAGUCCACCACCUUACCAGGACCCAAAUCCCACUCACUACUGUAGUAGUGAUUUCAGACACUGGCUGGAACGAAACCUUUUCACACAAUUUUCAAAUUCAGUUCUCAACAGCAAAAGGGUGAGAGGUUCAGAAAUUACAUGGGAACAGGUGACCACUGAGAUGUGAAUAAAGCAGAGCAAACUCAUGCUCUUUAUUGCCUU